CUCGUAGGCGGUUUGUCGCGUCGAAUGUGAAAACCCGGGGCUCAACUCCGGGCCUGCAUUCGAUACGGGCAGACUAGAGUUCGGUAGGGGAGACUGGAAUUCCUGGUGUAGCGGUGAAAUGCGCAGAUAUCAGGAGGAACACCGGUGGCGAAGGCGGGUCUCUGGGCCGAUACUGACGCUGAGGAGCGAAAGCGUGGGGAGCGAACAGGAUUAGAUACCCUGGUAGUCCACACCGUAAACGUUGGGCGCUAGGUGUGGGGUCCAUUCCACGGAUUCCGUGCCGCAGCUAACGCAUUAAGCGCCCCGCCUG
rnacentral:rRNA from 1 species